rnacentral:rRNA from 1 species
CGCAUCUGUGCAUGCAGCAUAUCAAUAAGCGGAGGAAAAGAAACUAACAAGGAUUCCCCUAGUAACGGCGAGUGGAGCGGGAAGAGCUCAAAUUUGAAAUCUUAAAGGGUUUCCCUUUACGAAUUGUAGUUUAAAGAAGUGUUUUCUGUUGAGGUUUUGGUAAAAGUUCUUUGGAAUAGGACAUCAUAGAGGGUGAGAAUCCCGUAUUUGACCUUUACUUUCAACUUUGUGAUACACUUUCAAAGAGUCGGAUUGUUUGGGAAUGCAGUCCAAAAUGGGUGGUAAAUUUCAUCUGAAGCUAAAUAUUGGCGAGAGACCGAUAGCGAACAAGUACCGUGAGGGAAAGAUGAAAAGAACUUUGAAAAGAGAGUUAAACAGUACGUGAAAUUGUCAAAAGGGAAGCGUUUGACACCAGUGUUGUUUUUCUGAAAAUCAAUUAAAGAACUGUUUAUGCUAAGCUGUUUAGACUUUAUCAGCUAACUGUUUAGUUUUGAGCUUUUCUUUAAUGCACUUUUCAGUUAACAAGUCAACAUCAAUUUCUUUUGCUGUAAAAAAGCUUGAGGAAGGUGGCUUGAGAUUCGUCUUAAGUGUUUAUAGCCUCUUGCCUAUGCAGUCGGAGAGAUUGAGGUCUGCAGCGUAGAUCCUUCGGGGCUAAAUGCAUUUGUGCUAAGUUAUAGCAUUUUAUAGACAACUUGUUGACUAUGAUUUGUCUUGUCAGCUUACUCGCUUAUGUUAUUUUACCUACGCUUAGGAUGUUGACAGCAGUAUAGACUGU